UCUCUCUCUUUAAUCUCAAAGAAACCCUUGAGCUGGGAGGUGGUGAGGGAAAGUGAUUGAUGGUUCGUUUGUGGGAGAGCAGUCUGAACUCAGGUGGUAACAACAGUUAAUUUUUUUCAGCUGUGCUAUACUGACAUCCUCUUCACAGAGCAAGAGAGAGGUGUAGGCAUCAAAAGCACUCCUGUGACAGUGGUCUUGCCAGACACCAAAGGAAAAUCUUAUCUCUUCAAUAUCAUGGACACUCCAGGUAGGACAUCCUUUGGCUUUUGAUUAUUAGAACCUUGUCUUGGUUUUGCGUGUGUCCUCUCACUUUCCAGAGCAGAA
rnacentral:sRNA from 1 species